AGCAGUCGCCACGGGAAUACGUAGGUGGCAAGCGUUGUCCGGAAUUAUUGGGCGUAAAGGGCUCGCAGGCGGUUUCUUAAGUCUGAUGUGAAAGCCCCCGGCUCAACCGGGGAGGGUCAUUGGAAACUGGGAAACUUGAGUGCAGAAGAGGAGAGUGGAAUUCCACGUGUAGCGGUGAAAUGCGUAGAGAUGUGGAGGAACACCGGUGGCGAAAGCGGCUCUCUGGCUUGUAACUGACGCUGAGGCUCGAAAGCGUGGGGCGCAAACAGGAUUAGAUACCCCAGUAGUCCCUGUCUCUUAUAC
rnacentral:rRNA from 1 species